CCUUUGGCUCUGGAGGUGACCGGUCUGGCGGCUACUGUGUCUACCUUGUGCUCGGUGUUACGACCACGUUGUGAUCAAAGGACCCUCUGGAAACCACUGGAUCUUUGAGGAAAUGGUGGUCCACAGAGCCAGACACAUGGAUACAGCAGAGUCCCUCCCCUCAAGAAGAUGACAGAGUGGCUGGGGAGACAGGCGUGCACACAGCCUAGAAGGCUUCCUCGGGGACUCCUGAGGACUUCAGCUGGCAUGUUCACCAUACCUCGCAGCAGCUGCCUACACGUGGGCUUCUGUGGAGUUUCUGUCAUGCUCCGGACCUGGCACUGCAUAGUGGCGGCAGGCACUCUGUGGAUUUCCAACUAGACAGCCUUAUUCAUUUUCACGGUGAUUACCAGUGAUGGUACUCGGUCAAAGCAGGCGGAACCGACCAAGAUGCUGCGGAUUCGAGGGACGGGUACCUUUCUAUUGAGUUUCCACAUUGAAGCCCUCAUGUUCCCCUCAGAUUGGUCCAUUCCUGAGCGGGCAUUAGACACGCUUUUGUAACUGAUGUCAGAACUGGCCAGGAGUGAGAAGUAGGGACUAACCCCUGAUUUCCCACGGGGAUCUGGAAUCAGCACAGCUAAUAGGAGAAGAAGGGCCAAACGACAGAGAACCACCAACAGGCGUAUGGGGAAACCAUCUGAGCCACAGCGUGAGCAGGAAGCCGGCAUGGGGGCGACUCCGGGCUUCAGGAGCACUCCGGUGCCUCGCCGCCUGAUGGAUGGCAGUCCUUAAGCCUGACUGAGCUUUCACAGUUGAAACCAUUAAAGAAAAGCCCACUUCCUUAGAAGAUGCUGGACGUCCUAUGACUUACCUCUCUGUGCCUGGGGCUCAUCUCCUGAAAAAGGGCAGAAUAACAGCACCCACCUCAAAGGGCCCAGCAAGCCAUUAGCGAAGGCUGAUGUUCUCCUCUAUGGUGGGUUGCUGGGAGGCUGGGAGGCUCCAUGCUAUCACUCUGCCUGUAUGCUUGUCAAUAAAUCACUUUACCUCUCUUG